UGGGAAAUAUUGGACAAUGGGCGCAAGCCUGAUCCAGCAACGCCGCGUGGAGGACGAAGGUCUUCGGAUCGUAAACUCCUGUCAGGUGGGGCGAAGGGCACGGGGCAAACAGUCCUGUGCCUUGACGGUACCACCAGAGGAAGCCCCGGCUAACUCCGUGCCAGCAGCCGCGGUAAUACGGAGGGGGCGAGCGUUAUUCGGAAUUAUUGGGCGCAAAGGGCGCGUAGGCGGCUCGAUAAGUCAAAGGUGAAAUCCCUCGGCUCAACUGAGGAACUGCCUUUGAAACUGUAGAGCUUGAGUCCGGGAGGGGGUAGCGGAAUUCCCAGUGUAGCGGUGAAAUGCGUAGAUAUUGGGAGGAACACCAGUGGCGAAGGCGGCUACCUGGACCGGAACUGACGCUGAGGCGCGAAAGCGUGGGUAGCAA
rnacentral:rRNA from 1 species